rnacentral:misc_RNA from 1 species
UUAAGUUCAGCGGGUAUCCCUACCUGAUCCGAGGUCAACCACGAGAGUUGGGGUUCUGGCAGGCCACCGCCGGGCACUGGAGCGAGAGAUGUACUACGCUCAGGGCCAGGCGGCACCGCCACUGUCUUUAGGGCCGGCCGCAGCGGGCAGGGCCCAACACCAAGCCGGGGGCUUGAUGGUUGAAAUGACGCUCGAACAGG